CAGUCGCCGCGGGAAUACGAAGGGGGCUAGCGUUGCUCGGAAUGACUGGGCGUAAAGGGCGCGUAGGCGGAUCACGCAGUCAGAUGUGAAAUUCCUGGGCUUAACCUGGGGGCUGCAUUUGAGACGCGUGGUCUAGAGUGUGAAAGAGGGUCGUGGAAUUCCCAGUGUAGAGGUGAAAUUCGUAGAUAUUGGGAAGAACACCGGUGGCGAAGGCGGCGACCUGGUUCAUGACUGACGCUGAGGCGCGAAAGCGUGGGGAGCAAACAGGAUUAGAUACCCCUGUAGUCCCUGUCUCUUAUAC
rnacentral:rRNA from 1 species